rnacentral:rRNA from 1 species
AGACCCUCGGACAUUGUCGUGCACUGCCGUCUCCCGGGCGCUGACGGCCCAAGAAGUAGCGUUGCAUGCUCCCGAAGCGACCCCAGGUCAGGCGGGACUACCCGCUGAGUUUAAGCA